rnacentral:rRNA from 1 species
AUUGAACGCUGGCGGCAUGCUUUACACAUGCAAGUCGAACGGUAACAGGCCUUCGGGUGCUGACGAGUGGCGAACGGGUGAGUAAUGCAUCGGAACGUACCCAGAGGUGGGGGAUAACGCAGCGAAAGCUGUGCUAAUACCGCAUGUGAUCUGAGGAUGAAAGCGGGGGACCGAGCAGCAAUGUUUGGCCUCGCGCCUUUGGAGCGGCCGAUGUCGGCUUUGCUAGUUGGUGGGGUAAAGGCCUACCAAGGCGACGGUCCGUAGCUGGUCUGAGAGGACGGCCAGCCACACUGGGACUGAGACACGGCCCAGACUCCUACGGGAGGCAGCAGUGGGGAAUUUUGGACAAUGGGCGCAAGCCUGAUCCAGCAAUGCCGCGUGCGGGAAGAAGGCCUUCGGGUUGUAAACCGCUUUUGGCAGGAACGAAACGGUGUCCGCUAAUACCGGGCGCUAAUGACGGUACCUGCAGAAUAAGCACCGGCUAACUACGUG